UAAAACCAAACUCCCCCGAGUGGUCGGGAUGAUUAUUGGGCUUAAAGCGUCCGUAGCCGGUCCGGUAAGUUCUCCGCUAAAUCUGACGUCCGAAGCGUCAGGCCGCGGGGAAUACUGCGGGACUUGGGAGUGGGAGAGGCCGACGGUACUCCCUGGGGAGGGGUAAAAUCCUUAGAGCCAGGGAAGACCAUCAGUGGCGAAGGCGGUCGGCUAGAACACGUCCGACGGUGAGGGACGAAAGCUGGGGGAGCGAUCCGGAUUAGAUACCCGGGUAGUCCCAGCCGUAAACGAUGCAGGCUAGGUGUGUGGUUCGCUACGAGCGGGCCGUGUGCCGUAGGGAAACCGUUAAGCCUGCCGCCUGGGAAGUACGGUCGCAAGGCUG
rnacentral:rRNA from 1 species